GGGCCCGCACAAGCGGUGGAGUAUGUGGUUUAAUUCGAUGCAACGCGAAGAACCUUACCAGGGUUUGACAUCCUGCGAAUCUCUUGGAAACGAGAGAGUGCCUUCGGGAACGCAGUGACAGGUGGUGCAUGGCUGUCGUCAGCUCGUGUCGUGAGAUGUUGGGUUAAGUCCCGCAACGAGCGCAACCCACGUCUUUAGUUGCCAGCAUUUAGUUGGGCACUCUAGAGAGACCGCCGGUGAUAAACCCGGAGGAAGGUGUGGAUGACGUCAAGUCAUCAUGCCCCUUACAUCCUGGGCUACACACGUACUACAAUGGCUAGGACAGACGCCGCAAACCCGCGAGGGGGAGCCAA
rnacentral:rRNA from 1 species